UACGUAGGGUGCGAGCGUUAAUCGGAAUUACUGGGCGUAAAGCGUGCGCAGGCGGUUCGUUGUGUCGGUGGUGAAAGCCCCGGGCUUAACCUGGGAAUGGCCAUGGAAACUGGCGAACUGGAGUGUGGCAGAGGGGGGUGGAAUUCCGCGUGUAGCAGUGAAAUGCGUAGAGAUGCGGAGGAACACCGAUGGCGAAGGCAGCCCCCUGGGCUAGCACUGACGCUCAGGCACGAAAGCGUGGGAGCAAACAGG
rnacentral:rRNA from 1 species